AAUUAUAUGUCACUAUAUAUAACUUUUUCUGCUCCAUGGUUAUCUAAAUAGCCGCAGUACCUUGACUGUGCAAAGGUAGCAUAAUCAAUUGGCUUAUAAUUGAAGUCUGGCAUGAAUGAAGUUACGGGUAGCUACUGUCUUAAGAAGAGUAAGGUAAUUUUAGUUAUUAAGUGCAAAUACUUAUAAACAAAGAAAAGACGAGAAGACCCUAGAAACUUUAGAUUUUUGUUGGGGCGACAGGUCUACAGUGAAACUAGACUUACAAAACUUGAAACAACUGGUGUAAGAUUAAGUUACUCUAGGGAUAACAGCAUAAUGAUAAAUCGUUUGUGACCUCGAUGUUGGACUAGGUUACAUAGUGGUUAGAAGCUAUUAUUGUUUGCUCUGUUCGAGCAUAUUACACCUACAU
rnacentral:rRNA from 1 species